UACGGGAGGCAGCAGUGGGGAAUAUUGCACAAUGGGGGAAACCCUGAUGCAGCGACGCCGCGUGAGUGAAGAAGUAUUUCGGUAUGUAAAGCUCUAUCAGCAGGGAAGAAAAAGGACGGUACCUGCACAAGAAGCCCCGGCUAACUACGUGCCAGCAGCCGCGGUAAU
rnacentral:rRNA from 1 species